GAUGAACGCUGGCGGCGUGCCUAAUACAUGCAAGUCGAGCGAACAGAUAAGGAGCUUGCUCCUUUGACGUUAGCGGCGGACGGGUGAGUAACACGUGGGUAACCUACCUAUAAGACUGGAAUAACUCCGGGAAACCGGGGCUAAUGCCGGAUAAUAUUUAGAACCGCAUGGUUCUAAAGUGAAAGAUGGUUUUGCUAUCACUUAUAGAUGGACCCGCGCCGUAUUAGCUAGUUGGUGGGGUAAUGGCUUACCAAGGCAACGAUACGUAGCCGCCCUGAGAGGGUGAUCGGCCACACUGGAACUGAGACACGGGCCAGACUCCGACGGGAGGCAGCAGUAGGGAAUCGUCCGCAAGGGGCGAAAGCCUGACGGAGCAACGCCGCGUGAGUGAUGAAGGUCUUCGGAUCGUAAAACUCUGUUAUUAGGGAAGAACAAAUGUGUAAGUAACUGUGCACGUCUUGACGGUACCUAAUCAGAAAGCCACGGCUAACUACGUGCCAGCCGCCGCGGUAA
rnacentral:rRNA from 1 species